AGCCAGAACUCCCUUAGGAAGAUUUUAAGCUCUCAUCAGGAGGUUUCCCACAAUCCCCAGUUCAUUUGACUAAUGAGAUGCAGUGACCUAGAAAUGUGCAACAAGAGACAUUGUGAAGAAGGCCACAGGUUUACAGAAGAAGCUUGCUCACAGUUGAAGUUAGAAGCAAUUCAGUUGAAGCUUCACAGAAUAAUAAGUGUGGCAAUAGAAUUUCCCAGUUGAAGUUACUCAGUCAGUCAGUUACCCACUCAGUCAAUUGCACCUUGUCCGGAUAAUUAGUGUGGCAAUAGAAUUUCCCAGUUGAAGUUAGUCAG